rnacentral:lncRNA from 1 species
AAAGAAAGAAAAAGGUGUCAAGAGGAGAGGGAAACCAAAGAGAAGUGGAGAACACGUGGGAAAGCAAGAGAGAGAGAAGGAGCGGCAAAAACAAUAGCGAAAGGAUGAAAUUGAAGGAUUCACGUGAGAUUUGCGGAACAUUUUUGGUUGUGUUCUUGGAUUGAGGUGAGUUCUUCUCCUUCUUUUUGUUUGUUUUCUGAUCUUGAUUCAUUGAAUUGGGGUUUCUCAACGAAAAUUAGGGAUUUUGGUUUCACUUAAGUUUGUGGAAAUUCAAUAUCUUUUUGAAAGAGGUUAAUAUGUUUUUUUUGUUAUAGAUUAUAAGUGAAUUGUACUAGAAAAGAAUUUACCAAGUUACAGGUCCAGAUUUGAUUGCUCGUUAGAAUUUUUAUGCAUUUUUGGUUCUCUUUGAAAUUCUGGACUGUUGGUGGGAAAAGGGGCAUAGAAAUUUCAUCUGUUAAUGUUUUGAGCCGAAACUAGUCUCUUUGGAUUCUACUCUUCUUUGUCCAGAUAAACUGUGUUAGGAGGAAUAGCAAUUUCUGCCUUUUUCCAGACUCAAUUUGAGUCGUCGCGCCCAUCAGUUAUGCAGUGAUGUUUCUGCACAGUCCUUAGUAAAAUGAGCAUGGCAAAUUACUUACUGAACCUUUUUAGAUGAUUCCAAAUCCUGGAGAUAGUAGACACAUGGAUGAUUAAUUAGUAUGUUCUGGGGUUUUCCUAAUUCUUACACUAGAUAAGGUGAAACAGCCUCGCAAGUCUGACAAUGUUUUGUGACUGUAUUUCUGAACGUAUAGUCGCGGUUUUUAUUUUUAUAUUCUGAAACUUAGGAUGUUUCGUUUCAGCUUUAUGAUGUUGAUCUGUAAUACCUAUGGUCAUUGAUGUUCCAUAUUUUUACUGCUUUAUAGAUAUGGGCACACUUUUGUUAUGAAAAGCUAGUCGUGAUAGUUUUGUUACAUGUGGAUAGUGACUUCAGGUUGUUGAGUUAUGAGCGACAUAAUGGUUGAAACAAAGGCUGGUUGAUGCCUGAUGUGAAUAUUGCCAACUUGGAAGUGUUUAAGUGCAGGUUAUGAGUAAGGGACAAAGAUCCAUUUUAUGGUAGAAACAAAGAAAACUCUGUCCGAUUUUUGGUAGAAUGGAUGAUAUAGUAUUAUGAAUGUUGAUUGUUUGUUUUGUAUACUCCUUGGCACACCAUGACCCCUGAUCUUUAGGUUAAUUUUAUUGGGCUUUAGGUGUGGCUCGAGACACCUCAUUUAGUGAUAGGGAACUUUUGGCGAAUACCAAAGUAUCCCAACCCACCUAUGGCGAAUAUCAGGGUGUGGAUACCCACCUAAGGCGAAUACCUGGGUGUGGUAAUUACCCGUCUAUGGCGAAUACCAGGGCGUGGUAAGCCCACUACUCGACCUCUGGUGUAGGCGAGUAGCUUUAACGCGCAAAUACAUAGAUUGAGCCUUACUUGCGUUGUGGGACCCUAGCUCACAUCCGGGUUAGGAUGAGGACCAGUUAACAGUAGUGGUUGCUCACCUAUGCGCAGGGGGCACAGGGAUGUCUGUGUAAGUCGCAGUAGUGGCGAAGUGACUAUCAUGGUGACCAUGGGAGAAUAGUAUUGUUAUAUUUAAGGCUGAUGUAUAAUAUGUAUAGUAAUAGUAUUAGUUUAUUAUUUGUUGGAGAACCUAUUUGUGAGUGGUGUUAUAUUUGAUGGUUGAGCAUGUGGUGUACUUUCAAGAUAUGCCUGUGGGGAUAUGGGAACUACUUUGCCUCAAAAGAGGAACUAAAUGCCCUAGAUCCUUGUGGAAGAAGUGUAAUUGAUAAUAUCUGGGGAAUGGAGGGAUUUUAAGCCUCGUCCCUGCUUUUGUUUACUGAAUGGAUGGUAUUCUAGGAGUACUAAUAGUAUAAAUUAAUUUCAAUAUAUAUCAUGCUUUAUGAAUCCAUAUUGUUGACAUGUAAAAGUAUUUAUAUUAUUAUUUGGGUUAGUAUAAGGAACUACUAUGCCUCGUUUGAGGAACUACAUGCCUUAUUCUUGGGCUUUUAAAUUAAUGGACUAUAUGUCUGAUGUAUAUUUUAUAAGCAUGUUUUCGAUAUACUGUUUAUGUUGGUUUGGGUCUGGAGAGGACUCAUACGAGUUCGUUGUAUACAAGCUAAUCCAAGUUUUAUGUUUCUGCAUACUUGGGUACACCCCGAUCCGGGUGUAGGCAGGGAGUAGCAACAAGACACAUAGAGCGCGCCGGCAUGGAGUAGUUAUAGAUACUUUUGUUGUCUUACUUAUGGUGCACUACUGGAUCUUUUGUUGGUGUACAUGUAGGAAUAUAUUUUAGGACUAUGUAUAAUGAGUGAGUGAGACGACACUGUUGAUGUAUAUAUGUAUUUUUGGGAUCCAUGGUACAGUGGUGGAGAAUACUUUUAUUUUAUAUAUGUUUGUGCAUCGACCGUUCGUGGACAUAUCUGUUUUUUUUUUUUUUUGUUCGUAUAUUGACAACUAUUUCAUGAGAGCCAUGGUUAUUAUGGAUCCCGUUCACGUCCUAAGUUUUGGGAUGGUUGAAUAUCCACGUGUCAGGGUGUUUAAUCGUCCAGAAAAUUUGGGGCGUGACA